AGUGAACGCUGGCGGUAGGCCUAACACAUGCAAGUCGAACGGCAGCACAGUAAGAGCUUGCUCUUACGGGUGGCGAGUGGCGGACGGGUGAGGAAUACAUCGGAAUCUACUUUUUCGUGGGGGAUAACGUAGGGAAUCUUACGCUAAUACCGCAUACGACCUACGGGUGAAAGCAGGGGAUCUUCGGACCUUGCGCGAUUGAAUGAGCCGAUGUCGGAUUAGCUAGUUGGCGGGGUAAAGGCCCACCAAGGCGACGAUCCGUAGCUGGUCUGAGAGGAUGAUCAGCCACACUGGAACUGAGACACGGGCCAGACUCCUACGGGAGGCAGCAGUGGGGAAUAUUGGACAAUGGGCGCAAGCCUGAUCCAGCCAUACCGCGUGGGUGAAGAAGGCCUUCGGGUUGUAAAGCCCUUUUGUUGGGAAAGAAAAGCAGCAGGUUAAUACCCCGCUGUUCUGACGGUACCCAAAGAAUAAGCACCGGCUAACUUCGUG
rnacentral:rRNA from 1 species